rnacentral:lncRNA from 1 species
UAGGACAAGUUCGAAGGGCAUCGGCAAGCCGGAAGGUGCAAGUAUGUGUUUGAUUGCAUUCUUUUGUGUAGUAUUAUCAUGAUAAAAUUCAAGUAUGGUAUCUUACUGAGUAUUCCUUAUACUCAUAGUAUUUUAUACUAAAUUUUCAGAUCCAUGAUCGUUGGAUUGAUGGAAGUUAGUUGGCAAAAGCGAUGAUGGGUUAAGGACAAAGAUGUUUUGCAUCGAAAGUUUCCUUUUGUAUGUUUUGUUCGAUGACUGCUUUCCAUCUGUUUUU